rnacentral:rRNA from 1 species
AUUGAACGCUGGCGGAAUGCUUUACACAUGCAAGUCGAACGGCAGCGCGGGGGCAACCCUGGUGGCGAGUGGCGAACGGGUGAGCAAUACAUCGGAACGUGCCCAGUCGUGGGGGAUAACGUAGCGAAAGUUACGCUAAUACCGCAUACGAUCUACGGAUGAAAGCGGGGGACCGUAAGGCCUCGCGCGAUUGGAGCGGCCGAUGUCAGAUUAGGUAGUUGGUGAGGUAAAGGCUCACCAAGCCGACGAUCUGUAGCUGGUCUGAGAGGACGACCAGCCACACUGGGACUGAGACACGGCCCAGACUCCUGCGGGAGGCAGCAGUGGGGAAUUUUGGACAAUGGGCGCAAGCCUGAUCCAGCCAUUCCGCGUGCAGGACGAAGGCCUUCGGGUUGUAAACUGCUUUUGUACGGAACGAAAAGGCUCUGGUUAAUACCUGGGGCUCAUGACGGUACCGUAAGAAUAAGCACCGGCUAACUACGUGCCAGCAGCCGCCGUAA